rnacentral:rRNA from 1 species
UAUUGCGCAAUGGGCGAAAGCCUGACGCAGCGACGCCGCGUGAGGGAUGAAGGUUUUCGGAUCGUAACCCUCUGUAAGAAGGGAAAAAAGUGCGUGGUGCUAAUCACCCGCGUAUUGACGGUACCCUCAAAGGAAGCACCGGCUAACUCCGUGCCAGCAGCCGCGGUAAUACGGAGGGUGCGCGCGUUAAUCGGAAUUAAUGGGCGUAAAGCGCACGUAGGCUGUUGUGUAAGUCAGGGGUGAAAUCCCACGGCUCAACCGUGGAACUGCCCUUGAUACUGCAUGACUGGAAUCCGGGAGAGGGUGGCGGAAUUCCAGGUGUAGGAGUGAAAUCCGUAGAUAUCUGGAGGAACAUCAGUGGCGAAGGCGGCCACCUGGACCGGUAUUGACGCUGAGGUGCGAAAGCGUGGGGAGCAAACAG